UCAUAAGAGGAAGCUGGUCUAUGCUUAGACAUAGGGGACACUAGUUCAGUAAGAGGAGCAUUUUGCCCACUACUUCUGUGUAAUUUGCACCCCCGAAAAAUCGUUGAACAUACAAGAAAUAAAUAAGCAGUCUAUUAAAGGGGGGGUUUGCUGGUAGGUUCCAAAAGCAUAAGAGGAAUGUGGGGGUGGUGGGAAGAAACGAAUUCCACUUCUUUCCUGGGAAAAGCUGGUGCUCUACUGACACGUAUGAACUAAUAAACAAGCUACGGUCUGCUCAGUCUUCCCUCACGCUUCGGGAUUUCUUCUUUUCUCUGAUUCCAACACGGAAUUAAGUUUCAAAAAGCCUGGCUGCCGCCUCUUGCUUCGGCCAGAGCUGCUCCAUUGCCUGCCUCGUCGUGCCCGUCGCUGGGCGACUGAGCCGAACGUUUCCUCCGCAGUUCGUGGUGGGGGCGGGCCGGUCUUUUGGCGCGCAAAAGUGGCGGGAAACGCGGGCCGCGGCUGGAGCUUCCUUGGCCAACCAGAGCUUAUGUCAGCGCCUGAGGCGAUCCCCUAUAGACACUGACCUGAGAGUAUGUCCCAUAAAACUCAGUGGGGUUUACUUCUGAGGAGACAGACAUAGCUUUGAAUAGGGCUGGGGAACAAGGGAGAACUCUGGUCAGGGCAGCGUCCUUUCUUGACCUGAUCUUUUUAAUCCGCCUUUGAUCAAAUGUGGUCUAAUAGUCUAAGCUGACCCACACAGAACAACCCCACCCUUAUGUCAUUAACUGAGUGAGAAGAGAGGGCAAAAUGCACUUUCUUUAUUCGUGUCAGAAGCAUCACAAUAGACUAUUAGGCCACAUUUGAUCAAGGGUGGAUUAAAAAGAUAAGGUCAAGAUUAUACAAACCCCCAGUUUUGCCACCACAUACCACAAAUGUGUAUGGUAGAUUUAUAGGCAUGUAACAGAGAUAUUCAUCAGGUCAAGAUAUUAAUUAAAAUAUAUGUGAGUCCAGGAGAUCACUCACUUGUGACCCCUUAUGUGCUUAACAAGUGAAGCUGAGCUUAUUUGUUAAUUGUAAAUAAUGUAAGUAUUUUGCUUAAAGCACUGUAUCUGGUGAAACCUCCAUUAACCUCCCCUUGCUCUUUCCAAAAUUACAUGGCAUACCAUCUGCAAAAAAGGUCAUUAUAUAAAGUUUAAAUUCUAUCUUUGAAGAGUGCCUUAUUUCAUUACCCACCUUGCCCCCCCCCAUACAUACAUACAUAUAUUAAGUAGUAAUUUGGAUUCUUUUCUUUAUGACUCCAGCUCUUAGCUGUGGGUUUUCCUACCAUUUCCCACACCAUGUAUAUUAAACAGCCAGAGAACAUUGGACGGUUUCUUCAAAGUGACCUGAGACUUCAAAUAAUUUUGUUGCAUGGCGUCAAAAUUGCUAAGUGUUAGCGUGUGUCCCCUUCUCUCGCUCUCUUUUAAAAUUUAUUUUAAACCUUCUCAAUUGGUUUUCUAUAAUUACCCCUCUGUGUAAAUGUCCCUGCAACCAUUUGGAAACCAGGAUGAGGGAAGAGGAGAAGAAAAGGGAGUCUAAAACUGCGCAGCAGCCUCUUGCUCAGACAAUGUAGCUCGAGAUUUUUAUGAGGAAAGAUGCACAGAACUGAGCCUACGUGCUACUCAAGAGAAAGUUUACGAACCCCGCUGCAUCGUCCUGGCUCCCGUUAUCUGUGGAAAGACCGUAUGCCCAGCUGUGCUCCCUCAGGAGGGGAGGGUCUUGGGGGCAAUUCAGGGGCUUCUGAGACCUGGUAAAUCUGGGUGAUGCGCCACAUCGUUCGCAGCUCGAAGUGCCUUGAAAUUCCGCCAUUCGCUCCGGUCACCGACUUUGUCUCUGCUCCCGCCCGCCUCGUGGGCGCCUUUGUCCUCCCACGAUCGGGCGCCUCUUUGACCGGUUCUACAGCUUUUGAUCGCUUUGCUGCGGGAGCUGCGGAGAGCACGAGCUACGAUCAAAAACAGGCUGAGAGAAGACCUCCAGCUGCUGAGAGUCGGUGUAACCUGCUUUCUAUACAGCCAUUGACCGGUGCUGCAGCUUUUGAUCGCUUUGCUGUGGGAGCUGCGGAGAGGACGAGCUACAGUCAAAAUCCGGGCGUGUGAAGACUUCCAGCUGCUGAGGUUCCGAGCGCAAGGAAACCUGCUUGUCGCACAACCAUGUGAGUACCUAGUUUCCACGAUCGAUUGCCUUAUGCGCUGCCAAUUUCUUGGCUUCCCUCCUUCCUUUUCUUUACUGUACAUGAUGCGCUUCAAAAAAAAAAAAAAAAAAAGGAAAGAAAGAAAGAAAGAAAAGAAAAAAAGUGGUUUGUAUUUCAUAUCUAUUUGAAAGCUACGGUGAAAGUGCGGAAGUAAGGAGGAAAAGCGUAGGUAGGAGAUAUGGAUGAAAGAUACAGCAAGGAGAAGGAAGGCUUGUUAAGCGAAUUCCUUGUCCCUACUUAGCUCAGAAUUAGAAGCACAUGACUGCGCGCCCUCCGUCAAAUUCUGCCCUUUCCAAGAGUCUCCUUCACUGCCCAAGGGCGAGCAAUACAGUGAUAAAUAAUCUGGCUAUUACUAAAAGCACUCAGAAUGCGGCGAGGCUGGAGAUUUUUGAGAUGCUCCAACAAAAGUGACUGGAGGGACAGCUGCCUCGAAAUGUGAUCUACAGACAGGCAAUAUUUUCAGCAAAGGAGCUGAAUUCACUCUCUUUUAAAAGGGGGAUAGAGGGUCCUAGGCAGCCUAUUUCCCGUGAGGAGGGGGAAAGUGGAGCUCACAGAUUAUCCCCUGCUGCUCUUAUCCUUUCUAAUGCCACUUGCAUCCAGCCUAGGCGUUAAAUUGCAGGUUGCGCGCGAGGCAGAGACUGGAGACUGAGAAAUGCAAAUCUGCCUGAGCAGGAAAUGGGGCUUUUACUGAGCAAGCAUGUUGCUUACAAGGGGUGCAAUCAGUUGCCAGAAAAUCCUCUUCUGGGGAGCAGGGUGUGUGGCGAUGGUUUUCUGCACUUGCACGACCCGGGCUCCCGUCCCUCUUUAGCGUGGCAUGAAAUUAACAAAGGCGGAGGAGGCUUCGUGCCCGGGGUGUCACCUCUAUUCAUAAAGGAGAGGGACAGGAGGAGCGAGAAAGCUAAAGAGCGCCGGUGAGUGGCUGCGCGUGCUUCUCGCCUCUGCACGCACAGUUCAGGCACAGAGCGGAGGAGAGCUCGCCUGGGCUCGCUUCUCCUGGUACCAGGCUCCCGGGAUGGAUGGGUGGCAUUUGGCAAGCCGGAGGGUUUGCCAUGCCUAGGCGCAUAGCUGAGGGGCCAGCGCAGUCCUAGAAAAUAGCAGCAGCAACUUGCAGGGGCUCCGCUCGAACUCUGCUGCCUCAUGUGGAAAAAGUGACUUCGAUCCAGGGCCAUUUAUAGGCGACAGUAAAGCCUCCUUUUCAGUGCGCGGCAGCCAGCGACAGCAGAGCGAGCGAGCGAGCGAGCGAGGGAGCGAGCUGCCUUCCAGCUCUGUCCCUCCGAAACCCUGAUCUGACCUCGCUCGGUUGGGGAAGACGGAAGCCUGCUUUCUGCUGACCCGUUGAAUUGGCUGUGGCAGGCCAGGGCACGUAGUCAGAAGAAACUUUUCUCCACCUGCCUUUUAGGUCGCACAUAUUUACCUUGACAAUGCAAGGCAUCUGCGUGGCCGAAAGUUGGCCAGGCCCACGAGGCAUGUAGCAGAUCUCACAAACCGGAAACAUUAUUUUCUAUGAAAGGAUAAUGGUAUUACUUUUUUUUUUCGUGCUGAGGUGCACAGACAUUAAAUGGGCUGGAAGCAUUUGCUGUGAUUGAUAGUGUCUCACACACCCCUUAGAAAUGAAGCAGUAAGGGCUGUCCCUCGCAUCUCUUCAACACCAAUUUUAUUAGAAUGGUUAAAAAAGACAUCCCAGUGAAUAUUUAUUUUAAGCUGGGGGAUGCAGAAUGGCAGGCUAAACAAAUUUGAAAUGAAGGGUCAUGUGUUUUUCUUCCCACCCAUUAACCAUCUUUUCUUUAAUUUCCCCACAUUCACUAAAAAGGUAAGAGUUAAAGUACACAUGAAAAGAAGCAAAGCUAUCUCCUCCAAAACAAUGAUUUGUGAUAUAUAGACCGGAAAAGGAUGGGUGGGGAGCCAUGGAAGGAUACUUGUUCGACCUCAUUUCAAAACCUUUCACCUCAAAUGCUCUUCCCUACAAAGCCUGAAAUCUCACAAUUGUCAAUUAUUCCUUAGUUAACAGCAGAAAGUCAAUAAACUCAAAUAAACAAUCAAAUGGUAGCAAUCUCUGUUUCCAGGAUUAUGCUUCAGGCCCUCUGGUGUUACAAAGUAUUUGUGACUGUGUCCCAAGCCAACUUGCGUCAUCUGUUUCAGGAACUUUACUAAAAAAUGCUUCAGACCGUAAUUUUACUAAAAAAUGCUUGAGACCGUAAUCCAGAAUUGUGGAUUUAGAGGGUUUUUUGGCAUUUAAAAAUGUUAUCUCUGUGCUACAAGUUUACUUCCAGAAAUGUAGAAAUAGGUUGACCUGUUUUAGUUCAUGUAAUGAUGUGAAGGUUUUAAAUCUGGAAUAAUGCUCUUACCAAUAAUGCUUCUUACCAAAUUAGCUAUAUUGUUUUGCUUCCACAACUGGAGACCCCACUGCUAAUAUUCUACAGCCCUGUGAUGUUGAAAUCCUCUGGAAGAACUGUGAUGUUUGAAAACAAAUGAGUUAAAAGAAAAUGCAAACAAUUAACAGUGUUGGUCCACCCCAUUUUAUUGCUCAUCUCUUGAUGAUUCAAUGUCUGAUGACUCAGAUAUGUUCUGCCUCCAUUGUAAAGCAUUGCAUAGAGGUGACACAGGGUGAAAUGAAAGUACAAUGGGUGAUAUGAAGGGUUAUAUACUGCCUCUCUUCAAGAGCCAUAAUUUCCUUCUAGAAUUGACUUAUAUCAGUCACCUGCUUUAAUAGUUUCAUACCUUUUCAUUCUCAAUAACACCUACUGCUUCAGCUCCUCCCAUGAUGUCCACUGGUAUUUUGGGAAUUUCUUCUCCUCGUGUAAAUAGCAGUUCCAGAGGGAAGUUUUCACUGAGAAUGUGAUUUAUAUUAUAAUCAUAGCAGGGAAGAAAAAGUUUAACUUUCUUCCAUCUAUUGCAGUCCCAAUCCUGAACAGACUAGCUACCUACAGCUUUGAAAAGAUAAAUGCAACAUCAAAGAAGUUAAAUGUCACACAUAGUUUGGUGAUCACCACUUCUUUUCCCUGUCCCCCCAUCCCCCAUGAAAAACCACUAGUGAGUCCCAACAUUUCUUAAGUUUAAUUUAUUCUCUUCAAUGGCCCUCAUAUUACUUGAAAAAAUAUUGUCCUUGUAUUCAGAUUGAUUGGUGAUUGAUCCAAAUAAAUGUUGUACUUCCGUAUAUUCUUAAAAAUCCCAUCUCAUACUGUUUGGGCCUAUUGAAACUGUACUACUGGAUUUUCUCAGACACAGAAUUUUAAAUGUGUUUCCUCCAUAUGUAGCCACAAAGACUUAACUGGAAGCCAGGUAAAGGCAUACACUGAGAUGCUGGUGCUAUCUCCUCUGUGCUAAGAAGAUAGCUCAAAAAGUAUAUUUUUUGGCACUAUAUUAGGCAUUGCUUUCUUGAACCUUGGGAUAGCUCAGCAAACAUUUAUAUUACAGGCCAAAAGUAUGUCCAUGGAGGGGGAAAACUUUUUUUCUCCGGUACCACAAUGCAUGCUCUCAAUGGUGUACAAAGCUGCAACUUGAUGCAUUGCUUAUUUAUUUGGAGCCCAUUCUACACAAGAAGUUAUGGAUCAGUGUUACUGGGAGAAAAAAACUCCUUGCUAAUCUCAAGUAAACAAGAGGAAAGGAAAGGCAAAUUAAAAGAAACAAGCGAAGAAGCAUGGGAAUAUGUUCAACAUUCCAUGAUCAAACCUUCUCUCUUGUUUGCAAAUAAUCUGCCACCCAUGUCAAUCAUUCCAGAAAAACACUGGUUGACACCAAAAUUUUCUGAUGCAAACUAUUUAAAUGGGCUUAAGAACUACAUUGUACUUUUCUGUAUAAAUGCCAUCUCUGCAACUGAGCAGUUUUAGCUUACUUUCCAUUACCUGCAUGAAUAUAUGAAGAAAGCUUCAGUUGUAGGUGAGAGGGAAAUAUUUGGCAUUUGGACUAUUUUUAAUUGUAGCUAUUUGCAAAUAAUGGUGUUCAAGGAUACAGUUUAACAUAGUUUAAACUAAAAUCAUCAUGACAUAUGUAGAGAUGCCCAGAAUGGGCAUAGUGUACAAAACAGCAACCUUAAUUAAUUUUCUACAUUCCCGUUUUAAAUCAUUGUAUGUGUGUGUAUUCAUCAGUGUAUAAUGCAAAUGUAGAAUCAGCAUUAUAGAAUGUAAUUUGAUUUUUGUUCCAUGCUCUGUCUCAUGUAAACAACUUUCAGACAUAGCACAAAUAUCUACAAAAUUCUAAAAUGUGCUUUUUAUGUACCUUGUAUCAUUUUUAUAUACUGGCCAAGUGGCAGAUGCCCUCAGGGCAGUGUACAACGUCUAAUGCCAAACUGAUGUGUUUUUAAGUAUAGUCAGCAGGAAUGUAUAUACUAACUAACACUGAUUGAAUGAAUAUAGCAUUAUGUAUAUAUUUCUUAAAUUAGAAAAUGUCUGGAGAAAAUUAAAAAUUCUUCAGCUUAAAAAGCUUCAAGGAAAAUAUGUAGUUAACAUUACCUAAUACAUGAAAAGGUUUCACAACCCAAUUUUUGAUUUGCAUUAAUGGAUAAUAGUAGGUACUUUCACACUGGUUCCACAAUAAUUUCUUAGGGAAACUGUAUUAAAACACUGCUAUUAAAAAAAAUGAAACACAACUUUCAAAGAUUAGACCCAACCAAAGAUAUAGCAUAUUCAGAUGAAUUUAAAAUAGUUCAAAAGAGUGUUGUUUCAUAAAGCGUCUGAUCAACAAGAGAAAAAAAAAAUCAUACCCUUGGUUCCCCCUUUCUCUUAGUUUCUACUUAACUGGGCUUUUAAUGUCAAUACAUUGACAUCACAAUACAAAUGGGGUUCCAAAUAAAGUUAUAGGGUUCAAUGCAAUAAAGGCAAAAUAUUAAAGUAUUUAAUAUGGACUGCACAUUUAGAUGAAAAGAAGGGGAAUCUGUUGAAGUAUGCAUAAAUUUAGAUUUUGGCUGUUCUGAACAUAUCAAAUCUACCAACAGUAAGUCUAUGUGAUAAUAUGAAGACUUGAAUGAAUUUUAUUUUGGAGAUUGAUACCUGUAUUGUACUACUAGACAGGUUGGUGCUAUUUACUUUCUCAUCUAUUGUUUAGUUAUUAUUUUAAAAGCUGUUUUUUUACUGCAUUAUAUUGUUUUUCGCGUGCCAUCUCUAUAACAUUAUGGCAUUAUAAAUUCCUAUCGUAUCUUUAUAUAUAUAUAUAUUUGGGGGUAUGCAUGCUUAGGCACAAUGCUUUCUUGUGCAGUCGCUUAUGCUUUCUUUUAUUGUUGCAUACCAUCUGAAUAUUUUGUACAUGACAAGUAGUAUAGAAAUAUUUUUAAAUAAAUAAAUACAAAAGAAAGUUGUAUGUAUGCAUGAGAGAGAGAGAGAGAUAAGAUUCCAUUGAUAGCAACCUUCAACAGUGCUUCCCAGAUUGUUGUAUGAUAGAACAUUAUAACAAUAAAAUAAUGGUAUAAUAAAAUACAUAUAUAACUCAUAAAACAGCAGUAAAACGCUCAUUUAAACACUUUAAAGGCCCCAUAGACCCGGGAAAGUAUCCCAGCACAAACAAGAUUCCCAAGGGAGAGAAUUCCACAUACAGUGUGUCGGGGCUGAAAAGGCUCUUUCCUCCUCUUUACAGGGCUUUUCUUUAAUGGGAACCUUGGGAUUGGUCUUAUUGGUGUGGUUAUGGGUAGAGGAAAAUAUGGUUGUGGGGGCAGUUAAUAGGACAGUUAAGGAGAACUGAAUUGCAUUUAGGUAUGUUGUGCCUCUUCCUUCUGGUGUCCCACCACCUCCAAACUGAAAGGAUGCUGGUUAUCUUACUAGCUUACCCUCUGAUUUGUUGCUGGUGUAGAAUCCUAAACCAAACCAGGAUAAAAUUUUUAAUUGAUUAUUUGAUUGUGGAUGAGAGGGCUGACUGGAUACACAUAAAGACUUGGCUUGGAGAAAUGGAAAAGAGUUAGUCUCCCAGUUGUGUCCAUCUGAAUAUGUGCUGUAACACCAACACAGUGUUGAGGGCCUAAGGGUGGGGGAUAGCUGUAGUUUAGGAGUGCCAAACUUUUCACUGCAGGCCUAACUCAGCAAGAGGGGCACCCUAAUCUAGCCUAUGUUGCUUCUCAGAAAUCCUUCAAGCAGAAGGUUUUAGGUUCUGAGCCAUACAUCUUAGAAGAAUCCCCAUAAAAGACAUCUGCCCACUAUCUCCAAACUCAGUUGGAAACAAUAGCGUGAAUUUCCCUGGUGACUUGUGCCAGUAAAACCUGCUGUUACUGGACGGACAGUCUUCUUCAUGCAGGUGUGUUCCAGUGUUGAUCUGGUUUGAUUUUGUGUGCUGUAGUGUUUUUAUUCUUCACUGUUGACUUUAUCAUUUUUAUGCACUGGUUUUAUUCAUUGUUCUGUUUGUAUUUGUGCUGACUGUAUUGUACAUUGCCCGGAGAACUUGAGUUAUUUGGUAGUUUAAAAUCGCAAACCAACAUGCAAUAAACAAAUAAGCAAAUUUGGGAGCAAGAAUUCUUUCAGAUAUCCAGAUUACAAAGCUGCAUAAGGCUUUAAAGAGAACCAUCAGCACUUUGAACAUGCUCAGAAAUGUACUGGGAGCCAGUGGAACUCUUUAAGUAUUGGCAAGAUAUUAUUUUUAUUUAUUUGUAGUAUUUUUAUAUUGCUCUUCAGCCAAAAUAUCUCCUACAGCAGUUUACAUUUAACAAAUUAGACAAGACAGUUCCUGCCUACAGGCUUACAAUCUAAAAAGACAUGACACACGAAGUAAAAGGAAUGGGGAAGAAGGGGAAAUGUAUUAUUUCAGCAGGGUUGGUAGAAUGGCCCUGCUCUUCUUACCUCUCUCAGUAUAGUCUGCUGGAAUGGUUCAUACAAGUAACAGCUAAAAAGAGCGAGCAUUCCUGGGAAAAGUCAGCUCAAUUUGCUCUCUCUUUUCCAUUUAUCUUUCUGGAACUAUAGUCCACGUUUUAAAAUGUUCCCAACAUAUCAGUUCCCUCAGUAGCAGUUCCACCUAAACUGCAAUCCUAAUUCUUUAGCAGAAGUAUAAACCCACACAAAACAGGUUGAAUGUCAUCCCUUGGAGUGAACAAGUGACCUAACCACAGAAGUUCCAUCUUGUCAGAACUGAGUUUUAGAUGAUUGACCCUUAUCCAGUGAUCACUGAUUCCAGACACUGAUUCAGCACUUUCACUGCCUCACUUGACUCAAAUAUAAAGAAAAGUUGUUUACAAUGUUAAGUACACUGAUGAUAUUUUACCUCAAUUUUAUAUUGCAGUUUUGUAUUUUAACAGUUUAUAAUCCAUUAGGCUAAUAUUUAUUAUUGGAUGCAUUAAAAUAUAAUAAGUAAAUAAAUAUAAAUUCCCAGAUAUCCUUCCCAAGGAUUUCAUGUAAAUGUUAAAAUGCCACAAUGCCAAGAACUAUUUUCCCAGUCUCAUCUUUUUGAAAGAAGCCCUCCAGGAACGUGUAGAAAACCUGCAACCUGUGCUCCCAGUUCAUAAUGCUUAUCCAGAAGGACAUCAUGGUUCAUGAACUCUGCCAAAAGGUCCAAAAGAAUUAGGAGGAUCACAUUAAACUUGUCUUCCUGGAAGACGUAUAGAGAAGGGAA